GACGAACGCUGGCGGCGUGCCUAAUACAUGCAAGCCGAGCGAAGUUUUUCUGGUGCUUGCACUAGAAAAACUUAGCGGCGAACGGGUGAGUAACACGUAAAGAACCUGCCUCAUAGACUGGGACAACUAUUGGAAACGAUAGCUAAUACCGGAUAACAGCAUUAACUGCAUGGUUGAUGUUUAAAAGUUGGUUUUGCUAACACUAUGAGAUGGCUUUGCGGUGCAUUAGCUAGUUGGUGGGGUAAAGGCCUACCAAGGCGACGAUGCAUAGCCGACCUGAGAGGGUGAUCGGCCACACUGGGACUGAGACACGGCCCAGACUCCUACGGGAGGCAGCAGUAGGGAAUCUUCCGCAAUGGGCGAAAGCCUGACGGAGCAACGCCGCGUGAGUGAAGAAGGAUUUCGGUUCGUAAAGCUCUGUUGUUAGGGAAGAAUGAUUGUGUAGUAACUAUACACAGUAGAGACGGUACCUAACCAGAAAGCCACGGCUAACUACGUG
rnacentral:rRNA from 1 species